rnacentral:rRNA from 1 species
ACAUGCAAGUCGAGCGGUAACAGAGAUAGCUUGCUAUCUGCUGACGAGCGGCGGACGGGUGAGUAAUGCUUGGGAAUAUGCCUUUUGGUGGGGGACAACAGUUGGAAACGACUGCUAAUACCGCAUAACGUCUACGGACCAAAGUGGGGGACCUUCGGGCCUCACGCCAAGAGAUUAGCCCAAGUGGGAUUAGCUAGUUGGUGAGGUAAUGGCUCACCAAGGCAACGAUCCCUAGCUGGUUUGAGAGGAUGAUCAGCCACACUGGAACUGAGACACGGUCCAGACUCCUACGGGAGGCAGCAGUGGGGAAUAUUGCACAAUGGGCGCAAGCCUGAUGCAGCCAUGCCGCGUGUGUGAAGAAGGCCUUCGGGUUGUAAAGCACUUUCAGUCAGGAGGAAAGGUUAGUAGUUAAUAGCUGCUAGCUGUGACGUUACUGACAGAAGAAGCACCGGCUAACUCCGUGCCAGCAGCCGCGGUAAUACGGAGGGUGCGAGCGUUAAUCGGAAUUACUGGGCGUAAAGCGUACGCAGGCGGUUUGUUAAGCGAGAUGUGAAAAGCCCCGGGCUCAACCCUGGGGAACUGCAUUUCGAACUGGCAAAACUAAAAGUGUGAUAGAGGGUGGUAG